rnacentral:rRNA from 1 species
GGCUCAGAUUGAACGCUGGCGGCAUGCCUUACACAUGCAAGUCGAACGGUAACGCGGGGCAACCUGGCGACGAGUGGCGAACGGGUGAGUAAUAUAUCGGAACGUGCCCAACUGUGGGGGAUAACGUAGAGAAAUUUACGCUAAUACCGCAUACGAUCUAAGGAUGAAAGCGGGGGAUCGCAAGACCUCGCGCAGUUGGAGCGGCUGAUAUCAGAUUAGCUUGUUGGUGAGGUAAAAGCUCACCAAGGCGACGAUCUGUAGCUGGUUUGAGAGAACGACCAGCCACACUGGGACUGAGACACGGCCCAGACUCCUACGGGAGGCAGCAGUGGGGAAUUUUGGACAAUGGGCGAAAGCCUGAUCCAGCAAUGCCGCGUGCAGGAAGAAGGCCUUCGGGUUGUAAACUGCUUUUGUACGGAACGAAACGGUCUGCCCUAAUACGGCGGGCUAAUGACGGUACCGUAAGAAUAAGCACCGGCUAACUACGUGCCAGCAGCCGCGGUAAUACGUAGGGUGCGAGCGUUAAUCGGAAUUACUGGGCGUAAAGCGUGCGCAGGCGGUUAUGUAAGACAGUUGUGAAAUCCCCGGGCUCAACCUGGGAAUUGCAUCUGUGACUGCAUAGCUAGAGUACGG